AAUAGUUGCUCUGCCUAAUUUGCAAAUUUGAAGUUCUCUCUCAAGUUUAGACAUAACUGUUAUAAUUUAAAGCUUGCUCUAGAUCUAAACUUGUGGGAUGAAAACUUGAUCUGAAAUCUAAGUUGUUAACGGAUAUGAUAUGGGAAGGUUGAGCUGCUGUUUAUCUGUUCCUAUAGAUGCUAGAAUUCUGGAGAAUUUUAUCUUUGAAAAAUCUUUAAAAAUAUUGCAUGAUGAUUUCCUGUAUGAUGAGAGUUUAAAUUCCUACCACAGCCAUAUAUACAUACUUGCUAGACUUUGAGCCACACAUUUACUAUUUACUGCUUAUGAGCAUUGAGUGUGGUCAAGCUGUGUAGACCCUUAGGAGCUUGUCAUGUGGUUAAAUCAAGAUUCACUUGCACGUUCACUCAUAUAUGCUACUUCUACUCCGGAAGUACCAUCCACAUAUAUCCACCCAUUCCAUCUCCAGAAUCACCCAAAAAUAUUCUACUCCUAACCCGGGAGAGAAUAACCAAAAAUAUUUCUGUUUUCCCUUGUGAAAUAAAUGCUCAAGUUAUCUUGCUACUACCACUUGCUCUAUUAUCUCAAGAGAUGAGUGCUCUAAAAAAAAUAUAUAAAUAAAUGAGGAAAUAAAAAGGGGCAAGUGCCCGGAACCUCGAAAGAAAAGAAAAAGAGUGAGACGAGAGGUAAAAAUGGACAAGUGUCCGACAGUAGAAUUAGGGGUACAGGAUACCCAUCUGAGAGAAAAGAAAAGGAAGAGCAUCUCAUUCUCCUCAUAAAGUUUCAAAAAGCAAGGAAGGUAUGUAUCCGCUCAAAAGAGCAAAAGUAGAAUUAGACUUUCACCAUUGUUAUCACCAUCAUCACCAUACACUAUUCAUUCGCCACACAUGCACAUCUUGAUUUGGCUUAUUGAUUUGUUUCUCUGGAUCCAUGGUUUGACUACACAAUAAAUGUCUUGUAAGUAUGUAUACUUUAUCUCCCACCUAUAAGCUCCAGAUAUUAAAGUCUUAUUAGAGUAGGGUGAGAGAGAGGGCAAUGUCACUAUGCCUUAUACCACAAAUACCACAUAUCUUGAGAGAAGGCAUAUACCAUCACUGCCUUGGUAAGGAUCCAGAAAUACCACAAAAGAGAGAUUUAGAGAGUCAUACAAGGAAUCUCUGAGUUUUAUUUGAAAAUCUACAAAAACUCCAGAGCUAUAGCUGAUCAAGAAUAAGAGACAUGGCACUUGGCUAGACUGUUCUAUCUUUUAACUACUCAAGACAGAAGUGACGGUUACAAGUCCCAUGGUGAAAGGUAAAGUAAGUAAGUUUUAAGUCUUGACAGUUUACUCUAACUCAGAGAUGAGACCUCAUUUAAAAUCAUGUGUACCGUCAAUUUUUAAAGAUAUUGCAACAACUUAUGAUCCAUAGCUGAGUCUAUCCUUGCUCAGGGACGAGCAAGAGGUAAGCUUGGGGGAGUUUGUUGACGGUCCUUAAGUAUCAAAUUUAACUAUCAAAUAAACAAAGAAAAGGAUCCAAAUGAAAUCAACAUCGAGACUUAGGGUUUUAUCUGACAGAAUUCCACGAGUUUUGGUGUUUGUCUAUUUCUGCAGGGGGUUAUCAGGAAAUACGGAAGAAAGGCCCACACGUCGGGAUUACAUAGAGAUAUUAACGUGCUGCGCAAUUAUCUUACUUCUAGAAGACUCCAGAAGCCACGAGACCGAAGCGGAGGCGAAACGGGGCCAGAGACAGGGCGCCCGCCCUGUCCUACUGGGCGCCCGCCCACCUCCUGUGGCCAAUCACGCUCAAUCUUGCGGAUUAUGCUCCACCGAUCUAAAGGAUCAAGAAUAACCAUUCAAUCAAUGUCGGUUUGAUCCGACGGCCCAGGUUCACUUGAGGGGACUAUAUAACCAGACCCCCUGGCCCCUGGAGGAGGCACCCCUUGAUCAUUAUUCAUUAUUCAUAGACAGAGCAAAAGCUAGGGUUUAGAGAUGAGAGCUCUCCUCUCUUCUCUAAACUAGAGUAGAUCUAGAUAGUAGCGAGAUGGAGAGCGAAGGAGGCUUAGAGGAGAGGCCGGCCUGUCGGUUCUUCCUCCGGUUGUACUUCGCCAUGAUCAAGCUCUAAUCAAGCUUGCUCAUGGGAUGACUCUGGUAAUCUACUUCUAAUUCAUUAUGCAAUUACUAAUCAUGUAUGUUCUGGUUCACAACUCUUUUGAGUACUUCUAAUCUAUAGGACCCUAUAUGUUAGAGUUGUAGUAUAGGUGUAAGCGUGGUGCUUAGACCUAGAUUACUUGUGGAUAUCCCCUGACUAGCUGGAUCGUGUGGUAGGCCGCGUAGGUGACAGUUACGUUGGUCCCCUGUAGUCCACCUCUCGUUAGCAGGACGGGUAGGGUUUAUGGGCCUAAGGAUAAGCAUCCUUUGUGGUGUACUCUUAUCACGUGGUUCGUCCCAGACAUAGACAUACCCCUUUGAAGUAGAGAAACCAUAGUUAUCCUCUCUAUUCUGCUACCAUCGCCCAUAUAAUAGUAUUGCUCUACUCUCUAUUCCCCUAUUAUUACCCAUUGUUAUCUUACCUUUAAUAUUGUUCUUAUUCAAUUCUACCAUCUUUCCUAUUUACACCUAUUUACUUAUCUUGGUUAAGUUAGAGCGUAGAUCAGUUCUCCCGUUUCCCUAUGGAUACGAUAAAACCUUUAACCGGGUGAAAGCUUCAACGGUAUCCGUGCGCUUGCGGAUUAUCUGUGUGCGUAUAAAUACCAUAGUACACUCUAGUGCCAUGCUGGGGAUGACAACCUAGUAUUCAAGUGGUGUUAGCAAGUGUCAACACAAGGCUCCAUGACUGUCGCUGAGUACCGUGACAAGUUCGCUCAAUUGUCACGUUACGCUCCGGGUGAAGUAGCCAAGGAUUUUGACAAGCAACGUCGUUUCCUGAAAGGACUGUAUGAUGGUCUGCAACUGCAGUUGAUGUCCAAUGUUUACCCCAGCUUCUAGGAACUUGUGAACCGCGCUAUUGUGAUUGACAAUAAGCGCAAAGAGAUGGAUGCUAAGAAGAGGAAGAUUCAGGGGCAGGCAUUGAAGGGUCGAGAUGGCGGACUAGAGGGGGGGUGAAUAGUCCUUUCUAAAACUUAACGCGCCGGCUAACCGAAAUCAGUGCGGAAUUAAAACUAUCGGUCUAGCCAAGACUAUACCCCUCUAUCUAUGUUCCUUAGCACCUUGUGAAAGAUCCUAAACAAGCAAACAAGGUGCUACCUUAGCAAGAGCUCACCUAACCAAUUCUAGAAGCAAGGUCACACAAACCUAUGCCACUAGUACUUUGCAAACCGGAGAGCUCCUACACAACUAGUAAGCAAAAGCACAAAGCUCCUAAGCUCACUAACAAUGCUCAAUAACAAGGCAACCAAUGCCAAAUCAGAGAGCGCAAAUUACUUAGCUACACAAACUAAGCAAUGUGACUAACAAGGUUACACAAACUAAAUUAGUCACGCAAGGGAACUACUUCUAGCUACACAAGCAAGAAGGUAACUAGCAAGCUACACAAGCUAACUAAUUACAAGAGCAACUACACAAGCACAAGUAUAUGAAAGUAAGAACAAGCUUGUGUUAGGGACUUUGCAAACCAACGGGAAGAACAAUGUUGACACGAUGAUUUUCUCCCGAGGUUCACUUGGUUGCCACCAAGCUACGUCCCCGUUGAGACAAGCUCCAAGGUUGCCGCCGGUCCUCUUGCUAGUGGUGACCCGCAAGUCACACUCUCCCACAUGGAGUGCUUACCACAAGCUCUAGCACUUGACCCAGCCGGACCACUUGUCGCUCUUCACGUCUCGCUCAACUAGAGUUGCUCUUCGCGAUCCCCGCGGGGUGAGCACCGUACCCCUCACAAUCUCUUCUCCGGAGCACCGCACAAUCUCCUUGCGUGCUUCGACGGAGUCACAAGCCACCAAGCCGUCUAGGAGGUGGCAACCUCCAAGAGUAACAAGCACAACCGGCUUGCAACACGAACACCUAGUGCCACUCUAUGCAAUCUCUCAAUGCAACGCACUAGAAUCACUCACUUGCUAUUGAUUCGCACUCUUGCAAGCACAAGUGAGUUAGAGGCUUUCCUAGCACUCCCCAAGCAUGGACACUAAGUCCCAAGGGUGCUCAGCACCAGCCAAGGCUGGCCACCACUUCUAUUUAUAGCCCCAAGGGCUAAACUAGCUGUUACCCUUCACUGCGCAAAAGUCGACCACACCGGACGCGUCCUAGUUCACACCGGACGCGUCCGGUAUUGACCAGACCAGCGUCCGGUGCUCUUGACCGUUAGAAAACUAGCCGUUGUCUCUGACACUGACAGGGCACCGGACUCUCACUUUUGAAAUACCGGACGCGUCCUAGUUCACACCGGACGCGUCCGGUAUGCACCGGACGCAAACUCAGAGAGCGUCGCAAAACUUGAACCAACACCGGUCGCAACACCGGACGCACACACCGGACGGUCCGGUGUGCACCGGACUCACACCCAGAGAGCUCUGCAAGAGGAGUUUGCACCGGACGCCAACUCGGACGCGUCCUAGUUCACACCGGACGCGUCCGGUGUGCACCGGACGCAAACUCAGAGAGUUUCACCGAGAAACGAGCUCACCGGACGAGGCACACCGGACUCUACGCGAAAACUGUUUCCGCGUCCGGUGCCUCAACUCGGACGCGUCCGGCUUGACAGCACUGCGCGAAACGAACUCCAACUUCUUCCCUUGCAUCCAUGUGCCAACACCAAAGUGUCUCCACACUUGUGCAUGUGUGUUAGCAUUUUCUCAAACAUUUUUCCAAGGGAGUUAGCCUCUCAACUUGCCACGCCACUCGAUCCUAACACGUAUGCAAAGUUAGAUCGCUCAAGUGGCACUAGAUGACCGAUAUGCAAACAAGUUUGCCCCUCUUGAUAGUACGGCCAUCUAUCCUAAAUCCAGUCAUAAACUUCUCUACACACCUAUGACCGGUGAAAUGGAAAUGCCCUAGGUUAUACCUUUGCCUUGCGCUUUCCAUUCCAUCUCCUCCAAUGUUGAUGCAACACAUGCACCAACCAAUCACCAAAUGAUAUGAUCCACUUCAUAUCAUCACGUGACCGUAUUGGUUCAUCGAUCUUGACCUCACUUGCUCUUCACCGUUGCCUCGGUCCAUCGGCGCCAAGUCAUGCUCAAGCUUCACCGUCACACGCGGUCCCUCGCUUCAAAGCCUCCGACUUGCCCUUCACUCUUGCAACCGGUCCAUCAAGCCAAGCCUCAUCUUGAUCUUCUCCACCUUGGUCACAUGACUCCAUGUCAUGUCUCAUAUGCAAUGAGCUCCUCCAUCAUCACAUCAUCACCUGUGGACUAAUCUCCUGUGUAUCUCACAAAAACACUAUUAGUCCACCUAAGUUGUCACUCAAUUACCAAAACCAAACAAGGACCUUUCAAUCUCCCCCUUUUUGGUAAUUGAUGACAACUCUACAAAGAUAUGGAAAUUAAGCUUUUUCAAGCUAGCACUUCACACAAGUGUAAAUUGCUAACUUGUUUUGGAUUUUAUGCUACUUAUCCAACAUUUAAGCUCUAUGUCAAGAUUUGGAUAAGCACCACAAAACCCUACUAAGUGCUAAGGUGUAUAGAAUAAACCUUUGUAGCUCGAUACCAAAAUCGAUAUCAUUUGAAGUAUUCAAUGUACACCAUCCUUAGCACCAUGAGUAGCUAGACAACAAAAACACUAGAAACCCCGUGAGAUCAACAUUAAAAGCAAGGGUCUAGUCUUUACUUGAAGAACACAAGUCUAGCUACCAACCUAUGCAUGCUAGUUAUCAUAUCAUCAAUCAAGUUCUAUAACUAGCAUACACCACACAAGCAUGCAUAUGGAAUUUGAAAACUUAUGCAAUGCAAGCAAGCACAUGAAUAUGCACAAAUCAAAUGCAAACAAACAAGGUUUAUGAGCUUGCUCCCCCUACUUGUGUGCUUCUCUUUUGUCCAAGAAUUUUGAUCCAUCAUAUUUUCUUUUAAUGUUGCUCCCUUGUCCAUGUCCAUCUUUGAUCUCUCCCCCUUGAAAUAUAUCUUUUGUUGUCCAACUUAUCGCAUGAUUAUAUCUUUGUUCCAACUUCUCCCCCUUUGUCAUCAAUUUCCAUAAAAGGUAUGUGAUACCAAUUAAAUCUUGAUACCAAUUGAGAAAGAGUGAAUCACAAUGUGACAAAGGAUUGCAUUGGGAUAGAUGGUUGAGGCUUGAAUUUUGCAUUUUUGAUGGACAUUACCAUAUGUGUAGGAAUGACAUUUACUUAAUUGCUCUUGAGAUACCACAUAGGAUCUUUGACCUUGAGACCAUUUGGUGCGGCACUCCCCCUAUGUCAUAGCAUGGGUCAUUCACUUGUCAAUCUUGUUGGUGAGGGAACUUGCUUCGCAUGAUGAUCACUUAAAGUUGAGGAUCACUUGUGGAACCACCUUCUUGUAGGAUAGAUACCAUAUGUAUAAGUGUGAUACUUGAAAGAUCUUGUCCGAUACCAUAUGGAAAUCUUCUUCCAAUUGAAGAUCUUCUAGUAUGGAACCACUUGUUUGCUUUCUUGAACAUUUGCUAUCAUGAUUACCAAUUGUAGGAUACCAAUUGAGGAAACAUUUGUGUUUAGAUAUCCAUUUGCAUUGUUGUCUUGUUCUUGUACUCUAAUCAUCAUGAGCUUCUAAUUGUAGACUUGAACUAUGUUGAUUUGACUAAGCUUCCAAGUCCGGUUUGAACCAAUGACAAGCUUUUUCACACCUCACAUUAAGGGUUAUCUUGCCAAUGUUGUCCUUGUUACUUGUUAACAAUUCAAAAUAGAUCAAGUACUUGGGUUCACUAGCUCAUGAACAAACUCAUAUACAUACCACUAGAUCAACUAAUCAUUCAAGCAACAGUGGUAGGUUAUGAAUUUAAAACUUUUUAUUUGUUAUGCAUGAUCCUAUUUAGCAUGUACUAUAUUGGAGUGGAGGAAUGUCAAUAAGAUUCCAAUUUAGCAUGUACAUUUGUUAUGCAUGAUCCUAUUUAGCAUGUACAUUACAAUGAUACCUUUGCUAUCUUGGAGUGGAGGAAUGUCAAUAAGAUUCCAAUUUAGCUCCAAAUAGCAAUGUGAAGUCCAACUAUAAGCUUGGUGAAGACCAAUUUUCAAUGCCAAUUGAUAGAUCAAAUCUUCACCCAUAUGAAAUGAAAACCACUUUAUGAUCAAGUGCACUAUCUUGUUGUGGUUGACUUGCUUCUUCUUUUGACCAUUGCUUGCAUGAAAGAACUACUAAGAAUAUCACUUGAAAUAGCAUGACUAGCUCUCUUUUGGGUUGUUGCUUGCUUUCUUGAUCAAUCCUUUUGAUUGCUUCAACUAAGCAUCUCAAAUGUCCUUUAGAUCACCAGUUCCAUGCUAGCCUUCCAAGCACCACACUUGGUUUACCCACUCCUCGGGCGGUACGCCCCUCACAUAGGGAGAAGUGACCUCUCUCCAAAGAACAAUUCUUGAUACUCACUUGAAUUGCUUUGAUUGAUUGAUUCAAGUGAUGGACUUAAUAUGAUGAGUAACCAUGAAUCCUUCUUUAAUUCCUUUUCUUUCUACUUGUUUAAGUCCUUUUAUUUCUACUAAAUGAUCUCCAAUAGUCACUAGAACUUAAUCUUCAUUCUCAUCUUGAGUUUGAUCUUGAUCUUCAAUUUGAGUACUAAAUGUGUACACCAAGUACAUUUCACAACCAAAUGCCCUUGUACUCAUUACUUGUCAUGCUUAUAGAUCAAUUCAAAACCAAACUUAGGUGCCUCAAACACUUAUAACUAUAUUUCCAACUUGAGGACCUUUCAAUUGAAGUGACUUUAGACCAAUAAUUGUCACUUUUCUGGCAGAUUCUGUACCUUUUAAAGAAAUAUCCAUAUCUCACAAUGUACAGAUCCAAAUGCCACGAAAUUUUGUGGAGAUGUGAUUUACUGAGUCAUCUAGCAGCUGUAAAAGUUUGAUCUUCAUUUGACUUCUAGAUUGCUACCAGAUUUCAAUUCUUCCACCACUAUUACAUGCUGAAAACUGCUGCACUAUAGCUGAUAAGAUCCACUCCAAAACCGAAGUAUCCCUUAUCCAAUUCUCAUGAAAUUUCUACAGCAUCUUCUAUGAUAAUUGUACAGCAUGCAUACCAAAUUUCAAGCCAUUUCAAAUAGAUUUGAUCACUCAAACUCAGACUUGAUCUCAGCUAGCUCAGGUUUUCAAUAUAGGACAGAUUUCAAGCAAUUGAGCUAUACUUGUUCAAAUUGAAUCAAACUUGAAAUCAACUUGAUUGAAUGCAUUCACAAGACAUGUAUCAAUUCAAUCCACUUACUAAAUGUUACCUUAUGAACUUAUCCAACCCAAAUCAAUCCAAACUUGAUUACUAAGCAUUUAAUCCAUUCAAACAUCUUAUAGCAAGCAACAUUGCAUAUAUAUCCAAUUCAAUCAACUCAUAUGCACCCAAAUAAAUGUGAUCAACAAAUAUAUACCUUGGUUAUCUCAUGAUCAUCUAAUUUGCAAGUUUCAACUCAUGUAUUUGCAAGCCAUCAAAUGAUCCAAUAAAUCACCACAACUUGAAUAUUACACUUGUAUGUUGUAGCACAUUUGGACUUCACUAUCUUGUCAUGGCAUUGGGUUUCAAUGUGCACUAGGCUUCAAUACUUGACUCAAUCAUAUGAUGAACAAUUAUAGGAUUAAUUGAAUCAAGUCUCCAAUGCCGAUGGUACCUACAAACAAUCAUCCACUUUUUGAUGGUACCCAAACUAGUUUGGGUCCUCUCAAGUUAGGUGCAACAUACUUAGGUGAUGCCUUAGUAUGAAUAGCGGGAUGUUUUGCAAUGGUAACCAUAUAGGUACCAUUACCAUCCUUUCUAAGCAUAUUAUGGUUAUCAAUUGAAAUAGGCUUAGAACUAUUACCUAGGGGACAUGAAUGAGCCAUGUGUCCCCUUUUCCGGCAUAAGUAGCAACUUCUUUUGGAUUGAGCCUUUUCUUCCUUGCUCAUGUGUUGCUUCUUAUUGCCUUGCCUCUUGAGAGUUGCUUGAGCCUUCUUCUCAAGCUUGGUAGGACACCUCGAGGAAAAGUGUCCAUCAUUCUUGCACUCAAAACAUUUGAUGUGAGAGAGGUCUUUUGAUGAUCUUGAUUGUCUACCUCCCCUUCUUGUCUUCUUCCUCAUCAUCCCCAUGUCACCACCAUCUUCAUGGUAGAUCUUGACUUGAGCUUGGGGCUUCUUUUCUUGCUCAACUUGUGGCUUUUGUUGAGGCUUCGCUUGAUGUUUCACCAAUUGCUUGGUUGGGCACAUUGAGGUGAGAUGACCCCAAGUGCGACACUUGAAGCACUUAACAUGCUUUAGCCUCUCUUCUUCUUUCAUCUUCUUGAGCUUCUCUUUUUUUGGGCAUCCAUUAGCAAGAUGUCCCUCUUCAUGGCACCGAUAGCACAUGAAAUGAGAAAGCUUCCUCUUUUCUUGCUUUCUUUUGCCCUUUGUCAUCUUCUUCUUGAAGCCAAGGCCACACUUGUCACCAUAGUUUCUUUGAGUCUUCAAUAUGUGCUCAAAGGUGACUUUUGAGUAGUAGCACCUCUCUAGCUUGUUGCUCAAAUUAUUCACUUCAUUUUUGAGCUCAUUGUUCUCCUUCAAAAUGUUAGUCUCACAAGACAUAGAAGUAGUACAAGCAUCUAAAUGUGAAGAACAUGGCAUAGAUAAUAAAUCAUCACAAAAGGUGGAUACAUGCUUCUUUUCUACAUCACAAGGGUUAGUAAUAUCACAUGAUUGAUCAUUUGACCCACAUGAUGAGCUCUCACUAGUUUUAGUUUCUUCAUUAGAAAUCUUCUUAGUGAGAAAAGCAUGAUCUUUUACCAAGUUAUCAUGAGUGACACAAAGUUCCUCAUGAAUCAAUUUUAGCUCCUCAUGUGAACAAGUAGUAACAUAAAGUAGAUGCUUUUGUUGUUCACAUGUGGUCUUUAGAAAUGAGUUUUCAUUUUUCAAUUUACUUGUUUUAUCCAUCUCAUUUCUUAAAGCUUUGGUGAGUCUACAUACAAGCUCAAAAUUUGGAUCAUCACAAUCAACAAUCACACCUCCAAUAGAUACCCUGCCGUCGCCGUGAGACAUGGAGGAAUGUGAUGAAGUGGAUGAGCUUGUAGAAGCAUCACUCUCAUAGCCAUCAUCUUCAUCUUCACUUGACCAUGAGGUGGAGCAAUCCUCCACAACCACCUUAUUGUGGUCAUGCUCAACAUCCUCAUGUAUCUCCACCUUUGGUUCCUCCUUUUUGAACUUGCCAUCAUCCCAUGUGGAGGAAUCACCGAAGGUGUGUUUGAUAGACUCCCACAUUUCAUAUGCGGUUCCUUUGGAGUUUAUCCUAUCAAACAACUCAAAGCUCAAAGAUUUCAUUAGAUAACAAUAAGCUUCACAAUCAAGUUCAAAGAGAACCUUUUGAGCUUUGGUGAGAUUCUUAUGGUCCAAGUUGUGUGUGAGACCAUUAGUGACAAUCCACCAAAAUUUAGGUCCCUUUGCACGAAAAUGAUCAAGCAUGUGAUUUUUCCAAAGUGCAAAGUUUGUACCAUAAAAAAUGUGUGUCUCACAAUCAUCUAUCCCACUAGACGCCAUCCUCUCGGGUCGGUGAAGACCACAAAUGAGAGACCUAGCUUUGAUACCACUUGAAGGGUCGAGAUGGCGGACUAGAGGGGGGGGUGAAUAGUCCUUUCUAAAACUUAACGCGCCGGCUAACCAAAAUCAGUGCGGAAUUAAAACUAUCGGUCUAGCCAAGACUAUACCCCUCUAUCUAAGUUCCUUAGCACCUUGUGAAAGAUCCUAAACAAGAAAACAAGGUGCUACCUUAGCAAGAGCUCACCUAACCAAUUCUACAAGCAAGGUCACAGAAACCUAUGCCACUAGUACUUUGCAAACUGGAGAGCUCCUACACAACAAGUAAGCAAAAGCACAAAGCUCCUAAGCUCACUAGCAAUGCUCAAUAACAAGGCAACCAAUGACAAAUUAGAGAGCGCAAAUUACUUAGCUACACAAACUAAGCAAUGUGACUAACAAGGUUACACAAACUAAAUUAGUCACGCAAGGGAACUACUUCUAGCUACACAAGCAAGAAGGUAACUAGCAAGCUACACAAGCUAACUAAUUACAAGAGCAACUACACAAGCACAAGUAUCUGUAAGUAAGAACAAGCUUGUGCUAGGGACUUUGCAAACCAACGGGAAGAACAAUGUUGACACGAUGAUUUUCUCCCGAGGUUCACUUGGUUGCCACCAAGCUACGUCCCCGUUGAGACAAGCUCCAAGGUUGCCGCCGGUCCUCUUGCUAGUGGUGACCCGCAAGUCACACUCUCCCAUGUGGAGUGCUUACCACAAGCUCUAGCACUUGACCCAGCCGGACCACUUGUCGCUCUUCACGUCUCGCUCAACUAGAGUUGCUCUUCGCGAUCCCCGCGGGGUGAGCACCGUACCCCUCACAAUCUCUUCUCCGGAGCACCGCACAAUCUCCUUGCGUGCUUCGACGGAGUCACAAGCCACCAAGCCGUCUAGGAGGUGGCAACCUCCAAGAGUAACAAGCACAACCGGCUUGCAACACGAACACCUAGUGCCACUCUAUGCAAUCUCUCAAUGCAACGCACUAGAAUCACUCACUUGCUAUUGAUUCGCACUCUUGCAAGCACAAGUGAGUUAGAGGCUUUCCUAGCACUCCCCAAGCAUGGACACUAAGUCCCAAGGGUGCUCAGCACCAGCCAAGGCCGGCCACCACUUCUAUUUAUAGCCCCAAGGGCUAAACUAGCCGUUACCCUUCACUGCGCAAAAGUCGACCACACCGGACGCGUCCUAGUUCACACCGAACGCGUCCGGUAUUGACCAGACCAGCGUCCGGUGCUCUUGACCGUUAGAAAACUAGCCAUUGUCUCUGACACUGACAGGGCACCGGACUCUCACUUUUGAAAUACCGGACGCGUCCUAGUUCACACCGGACGCGUCCGGUAUGCACCGGACGCAAACUCAGAGAGCGUCGCAAAACUUGAACCAACACCGGUCGCAACACCGGACGCACACACCGGACGGUCCGGUGUGCACCGGACUCACACCCAGAGAGCUCUGCAAGAGGACUUUGCACCGGACGCCAACUCGGACACGUCCUAGUUCACACCGGAUGCGUCCGGUGUCCACCGGACGCAAACUCAGAGAGUUUCACCGAGAAACGAGCUCACCGGACGAGGCACACCGGACUCUACGCGAAAACUGUUUCCGCGUCCGGUGCCUCAACUCGGACGCGUCCGACCUCAUACCGGACGCGUCCGGCUUGACAGCAUUGCGCGAAACGAACUCCAACUUCUUCCCUUGCAUCCAUGUGCCAACACCAAAGUGUCUCCACACUUGUGCACGUGUGUUAGCAUUUUCUCCAACAUUUUUCCAAGGGAGUUCGCCUCUCAACUUGCCACGCCACUCGAUCCUAACACGUAUGCAAAGUUAGAUCGCUCAAGUGGCACUAGAUGACCGAUAUGCAAACAAGUUUGCCCCUCUUGAUAGUACGGCCAUCUAUCCUAAAUCCGGUCAUAAACUUCUCUACACACCUAUGACCGGUGAAAUGGAAAUGCCCUAGGUUAUACCUUUGCCUUGCGCUUUCCAUUCCAUCUCCUCCAAUGUUGAUGCAACACAUGCACCAACCAAUCACCAAAUGAUAUGAUCCACUUCAUAUCAUCAUGUGACCGUAUUGGUUCAUCGAUCUUGACCUCACUUGCUCUUCACCGUUGCCUCGGUCCAUCGGCGCCAAGUCUUGCUCAAGCUUCACUGUCACACGCGGUCCCUCGCUUCAAAGCCUCCGACUUGCCCUUCACUCUUGCAACCGGUCCAUCAAGCCAAGCCUCAUCUUGAUCUUCUCCACCUUGGUCACAUGACUCCAUGUCAUGUCUCAUAUGCAAUGAGCUCCUCCAUCAUCACAUCAUCACCUGUGGACUAAUCUCCUGUGUAUCUCACAUAAACACUAUUAGUCCACCUAAGUUGUCACUCAAUUACCAAAAUCAAACAAGGACCUUUCAGGCAUCUAGCAGGAACACUCGUCCGCGCGUGUUUCCUCAGCAGGGCUUUCCUCCUAGGAACCAGAGGCCCCCUAGUCAGUGGAAUCAGGGCCAGUACCCUCUGCGCAACCAAAAGCAGAACCAGCAGCGUCCCCAGUACCAGCAGCAGUUUGGUAAUCAACGCCCUCAGCAGCAAGCUAACCCCCAGGCACCACGUCCAGGUGUGCCCAACAAUGCUCCAGUGAAGACAACAGUGGCAAACAACCCCAAUGCUUGCUACCGUUGUGGUGAAGUGGGUCACUAUGCCCAUCAGUGCCCGAAGAAGCAGAACCCCUCAGCUCCACAGAAUCAGAACAACAAUCAGAGGCCCAAUGCUCGACCACCCCAAACUGGAAGUGUGAACCAUGUGUCUACUGAAUAAGCUCAGGAGGCACCCGAGGUCAUGUUGGGUACGUUCAGUAUCAACUCCAUCCCUGCUACUGUACUUUUUGAUUCCGGAGCUUCGCAUUCUUUCAUCUCGCAAGCUUUUGUUAGAGUACAUAGCAUAGCUUUAUGUGCCAUGAAAAACUCAAUGCUAGUGAAUUCACCGGGGGGUACUAUGCCAGCGAACUAUUGGAGUCCCUCCGCUAGUGUUUCUCUAAGGGGGGUAGAGUUCAAAGUAAACCCCAUUGUGCUAAGAACUUCUGGUAUUGACCUUAUCCUGGGGAUGGAUUGGAUGAAGCAACAUUGGGCAGUGAUUCAAUGCCAGGAGAAGUCUGUGGUAGUAACAUCACCUAAAGGGGAUAGAAUUUGUGUAGAGGUGGCAGUGCAAGCACCUCCAACUGCUAUCGUGAACCAGUUGACUGAUGAGGUCAAUGAGGAGAACCAAGUGGUGGAUGACUUCCCUGAUGUGUUCCGUGAUGAAUUGCCAGGUAUGCCACCUGACCGAGACAUCGAAUUCCUUAUUGAACUUUUACCUGGAACUGCACCUAUAGCUAAAAGACCUUAUAGAAUGGGAGUGAAUGAACUAGAGGAACUUAAGAAACAAAUUAAAGAGUUGCUAGAGAAGGGUUUUAUUCGUCCUAGUUCAUCACCUUGAGGAGCACCCAUUAUCUUUGUCGAUAAGAAAGAUGGUACCAGGAGAAUGUGUGUGGAUUACCGGUCACUAAAUGAAGUAACCAUCAAAAACAAGUACCCUUUGCCUAGAAUUGAUGACCUGUUUGAUCAGUUAAAAGGUGCUUGUGUGUUCUCAAAAAUAGACCUUCGAUCCGGUUAUCACCAACUGAAAAUCCGUGCCUCGGAUGUACCUAAGACAGCCUUCACUACUAGGUAUGGCCUGUAUGAGUACACAGUUAUGUCUUUUGGGCUGACCAAUGCACCCGCAUAUUUCAUGUACCUCAUGAACAAGGUGUUCAUGGAAUUCUUGGAUAAGUUUGUAGUGGUGUUCAUUGAUGAUAUACUCAUCUUUUCCAAAACUAAAGAGGAACAUGCGGAGCAUCUGAGGCUAGUCUUGCAAAAGCUUAGAGAACAUAAGCUAUAUGCCAAAAGAAGCAAGUGUGAGUUUUGGCUAAAGGAGGUCUCCUUUCUGGGACACGUGGUCUCCAAUGGAGGGAUAGCCGUGGACCCCAGCAAGGUGCAAGAUGUGUUGAAUUGGAAACCCCCGACCAAUGUGAGUGAAAUCCAUAGCUUUCUGGGAUUGGCCGGAUAUUAUAGAAGAUUCAUUGAAGGAUUCUCUAAACUUGCUAAGCCCAUGAUGGCCUUAUUAGAGAAGAGUGCUAAGUUUGUUUGGUCACACAAAUGCCAGGCUAACUUUGAGGAGUUAAAGAAGAGGUUGACCACAGCUCCAAUGUUGACCUUACCUGACUUAAGCAAGAGCUUCUCCAUCUAUUGUGAUGCUUCUCGCUUAGGUUUAGGUUGUGUGCUCAUGCAAGAAGGAAGAGUAGUGGCCUAUGCAUCUAGGCAGUUGAGGAAACAUGAGUUGAAAUACCGUACUCAUGAUCUGGAGCUAGCCGCAGUGGUCCAUGCUUUAAAAAUUUGGAGGCAUUACUUGAUUGGUCAUAAGUGUGAUAUUUACACAGACCAUAAGAGCCUAAAGUAUAUCUUCACCCAGUCAGACCUGAAUCUGAGGCAACGUCGUUGGUUAGAGUUGAUCAAGGAUUAUGACCCGGAAGUGCAUUAUCACCCUGGGAAAGCAAAUGUAGUUGCAGAUGCACUUUGUAGGAAAAGCUAUGUCAACAGACUUUAGCUGAAAUUUAUUCCAGCUGAGUUGCGAGCCGAAAUAGAACACCUCAACAUAGGCUUUGUGAAUCAUACCAUGGGUCUAGAGAUAGAGCCAACAUUGGAACAAGAGAUAUGUAAGAGUCAGUUGGAGGAUGAGAAAUUAAAAGAGAUAGCAGAUAAUGUAGUGCUUGGAAAGGCACCAGGCUUCAGGAUAGAUGAGAAUGGUACCCUAUGGUUUGGGAAAAGGAUAUGUGUGCCUGAAGUGAAGGCUAUCCGAGACACAAUUCUGCGUGAGGCGCAUGACUCUGCUUAUUCAAUACACCCUGGGAGUACCAAGAUGUAUUUGGACCUAAAGGAGAGAUAUUGGUGGUAUGGAUUGAAAAGGGAUGUAGCAGAGUAUGUUGCUUUGUGUGACACCUGUCAGAGGGUGAAAGCUGAGCACCAAUGACCUGCAGGGUUGUUGCAACCAAUGCAGAUACCCGAAUGCAAAUGGGAACAAGUCGGUAUGGACUUUAUUACCGGGUUGCCACGUACUCAACGUGGGUAUGACUCGAUUUGGGUAAUAGUAGACCGACUCACUAAGGUUGCACAUUUCUUACCAGUCAAAAUCAACUACAAAGGGGAAAGGUUAGCCGAGCUAUACAUGGAAAGGAUUGUGUGCUUACACGGAGUUCCAAAGAAGAUCGUGUCCGACCGAGGAACUCAGUUUACAUCGCACUUUUGGCACAAAGUACAUAGAUCCUUGGGAACUAAGCUGAACUUCAGUUCUGCUUAUCAUCCCCAGACUGAUGGACAGACAAAGGGAAUUAAUCAAAUCUUGGAGGACAUGCUGAGAGCUUGUGCUCUGCAGUAUGGCACUAGUUGGGACAAAAGUCUGCCGUAUGCCGAGUUUUCCUAUAACAACAGCUACCAGAGGAGUCUCAAGAUGGCACCAUUUGAAGCUUUGUAUGGUCGCAAGUGUAGGAAACCUUUAUUCUGGAAUCAAACUGGUGAAACACAGGUGUUUGGACCAGAUGUCCUAAGAAGUGCUAAAGAACAAGUGAGGAUGAUUAGGGACAAUCUAAGAGUGGCACAGUCCAGACAGAAAAGUUAUGCCGACACACGAAGAAGGGAUUUGAGCUUCAAAGAGGGUGAUUUUGUAUAUCUGAAGGUAUCUCCAAUGAGGAGUGUGAAGAGAUUCAAUGUGAAGGGUAAGCUAGCACCGAGAUACGUCGGACCUUUCAGGAUUCUUGCAAGACGUGGAGAAGUAGCCUAUCAGUUAGAACUUCCUGAGAGUUUGUCAGGUGUACAUGAUGUAUUCCAUGUUUCUCAGUUGAAGAAGUGUUUGCGGAUACCCGAAGAGCAGAUUCCUAUAGAAGAGUUGACCGUUAAAGAAGAUCUCACAUAUGAAGAGUACCCGAUAAAGAUCUUGGAAACUGCAGAUAGAGUUACAAGAAGCAGAACCAUAAAGAUGUGUAAAGUACAGUGGAACCGUUAUACCGAAGAUGAAGCCACCUGGGAAAGAGAAGAGGAUUUGAGAAAGUCGUAUCCACAACUAUUUGAGUAAGCACCACCCAAUCUGGAGGACGAGAUUAUUUUUAAGGGGGUAGAAUUGUAACACCCAUAAUUUGGCUCUUUUAAAAAUAGAUGAGUUUGGCUUUAUUAAAUAAUUUUGUGAGCAUAAAAAUAUAGGAAAAUAAAUAAACUUUGGGAAAUUAAAAUUUAAUAGAAAAUUACAAACACGUUGACGCAUUCAUGCUGCAGCACUUAAUUUUUGUGAUGUGUGAAUUUAUGCAAAAGAAAUUUUUGUUCAAAAUUCAAAUUUGUAAAUGCUUUUGAAAACAAGUUGAAAAAAAAAUAAAAAAAAGGGGAAUCCAUCUCUCUCCCUUCCCCCUCAUUUUCGGCCUGCUUGGCCCAAUUCCAGCAGCCCGCCAGCACCCUAACUCCCUCUCUCUCUUCCACUGGAGAGUUGGGCCCACUUGUCAGCUCUAUCUCAACCCCCAAACCGUCGCACCGAACCUCUCUCUCGGUUGGAACCACCAGGCCGAAGCCCCCGUGCCCACGUUCUCCUCUCCCCGCGCCUCGGUCUUCAAGUUGGAGAGCCCCUCGCGCACCCGGGCACUCCCCCUCCCCCAUUCUCUCUUCUCCUUGCCCGUGCCCCGCUCGUUUCUGCGCAGAGAACCGUCGCCGGGAAGUUCUUCGUCGGCCGCGCAUAGGCCGCCGUUCCGAGCCAUUUUCGCUGCGAUUUGGCGCCGUGGUGAGCUUCAUCUCCCUUCCCGCUCCCUCCCCGUCCUGUUGCGGAGUGAAUCGUGGCCCGGAGUCCCUGUUCCGCGAGCUCCGACGGGACGUUCAUGGCGCCACCGUGAACCUUCUCGGAAACCGCCUCCUCGACCGCGUUUAUGGGGUGGAAUGGACUCGCAUCGCUCUCCUCUUUCUCCCAGUUCAAACGGAAUCGAAAACCAUGCAUCGUAGGUCCCUAUUCUCUUGCUCCGGCGAGCUUCCUUGCGGCCGGCCAUGGUGGCCACCGUGUUCUGGCCGGAGCUGCCCUGUGCGCCGUCCCCUUCCUAUCUCUCUCUUUUUAUUUUAUUUUUUUAUUUUUUUUUCUUUUAAUCGAGCGCGUUCAUCUGUGAUCCAACGGCCUACAAUGCCCCGUACCCCUUGGAGGGCAUUUUUUGUUAAAGAGUCCCCCCGGAAUCCCAUUUUUGCGCGCGCAGUCCUCGGCCAGAGGAAUUUCCAGGAUUUAAUUUAUUUAUUUAAAUUUGUUUAAACUCUGCUUUAUUUACAGAAUUGCCACCGCAUUGUUUUAGCUAUAAAAUCGUCGUUUGAACUCCGAAUCGAUCCGUUCAAGUUGCGCUAGUUUCGUAAUUUCGUAAGCUUCGCAUUGGUACCACUGUUGUUUAGGUUUACCACUGUUAGAUUUCCUAGUAAAUUACAAGUCCAUAGAUUGCUGUUGAAAUCCCGUUAAGAGCGUAACUUUCACGUCGUAAGUCCGUUUUUCGUGAAUUUCGCGUUGACGUGAUUGUAGCAGCACGUAGAUGAUUUUGGAAAACUUUUAUUUAAAUUAUUUACUGCUGGUGUACUGUUCUAACUUUAGGAAUUGUUCUCUUGCAUGUUUGUCUUGGUAUGCGUGAUGAUUGUGAUGUAUUGAUCGAGCCCAUACGGUGAGGAGUAUUUCGGGAGUUCGGAGCUCUUUGGGGAUCAGCAGGACCAGCAAGACCAGCAGGAGUACGUGAAUCAAGGCAUGUAUAGCAUGGGCCUACCUUGUUGUCCUACUCAUUUUUAAGCAUUUCACCCUACAUGUGUACAAUAUUGCAAACUAUAAGAACAUCCUAGCUGUUGAUGACAAUUACCUUGUUCCCAAGGGUUUUUAUUGCAUAUGGGUAGAAGUGCUUGUGCUCUAACUCCAAUUAUAUAUGAUCUAAAAUCAGUGAUGGAACCAUGGUUAAUUGAUUAAACAUGAUUAUGAUAAAUGGAACAUAGGGCUAUGGUACAAAUGACUGUUGGUCAUGUUGUCCUAGACCCUCCGUAAGGACUUAUCUGUCAGCAAAAGCUGGGACUUACAGUGCAACUGGGAGAGUCACAUGGCUCUGACUUUAGCUCAGUAAUAGGAUCUUUUCUAACUCGUUAGAGGUUACCCGAAAGGGCGCAAGAGGCGCUUGCCACUUUGGGUGUAGGGCUGCCCCUGUUUCUAUGAGUAUAGCCGCGAUGGAAAUGUGCCAUAGAAAAGGGGGGUUUUCUACAUCUGCCUGCCGAGGAAACCUCGCGGCCCUAACUGGUUAGAAUAGGCCUAUGGAAGGCUUCAUAGUGUACCCUGCCCGCUCACCUUGGUAGUAUUUGGGGGUCGACGGAUCCCGGGCGUAUGGGCAACACGACUCACGAUGAAAGUGCACAACCUCUGCAGAGUGUAUAACUGUUAUAACAGCCGUGCUCACGGUCACGAGCGGCUCGGAAAACUCACAGAAUAACUAGUUACUGAUGGCUUUAUGGUACAUGAUGAUGUACAAUUAUGCUUUAAUGUGACUUAAUGACUUACUAUGGUUCUAAUAACUGAUCAUAUGGGAUAUUUGGGAGCUUAAGCAUAAACUAUAAUAAUUAAUGAUAAAACACUGAUCUACUAAAAGCUGAUGCAGUGAACCUAGUUUAGCCUGUUUGAGCCUCAUAAAUCCUCAUGCUAUGCUUGUGGAGUACGAGAUGUACUCACUCUUGUAUAUGUCUUUUCUUUGGAUAAAAAUCCUGGAUGGGUAACAGAUGGCUAUGAGGACUACCCGGAGGACUAUUAGGCUUGUGCUUCACCAGUCGACCUUCCCUGUGUGAGGGCCAUGAGAUAGUUAUCUUAGAUUAUCAUAUUUAUAUUUCCGCUGUUAUGCCAGACUUUGUGAUGUAAUAACUACGUUUGUUGUAAACACUGCGAUGAUGGUAUUUAAUUUGUGACUUAUGUGUGUGAUUGAUCUCUGGGCGCACAUAAGUUUAUGCAUUCAAUUUCUUCCUUGAAAUUGGGUGUGACAAAUCCCGACAUGUGGGCCUUUCUUUCGUAUUUCCUUAUAACUCCCUGCAGAAAUAGACAAACACCAGAACUCGUGGAAUUCUGUUAGAGAAAACCCUAAGUCUAGAUGUUGAUUCUAUUUGGAUCCUUUUCUUUUUUUAUUUGAUAAUUAAAUUUGAUACUUAAGGACCGUCAACACUUGCCAUUCCUGCCUCCUGCGACUUCCAUCUUUAACUUCGAGCUCAAAGUUUUUCCUACGGCGUCAAUGGCGAAGAGCGACUCAAAGAAAAGGGCUGAGCUAAAGGCAAAGGAGUGGAAGAAGUCCCGGAGCUGCACGAGGUCCCUCAACGACCUCGUCGGGAUGGGUCUGCUUCAUAACCAAGAGCUCGGUGGCUGGAGGGCGCCAGAAGGGGAAAGCUACCCCGACCCUGCGCCGGUGAAAUUGUCAUUUUUGAAGAUUUCUUCAAGAGGGGCUUUGGGAUUCCUAUCCAUCCUUUCCUCUAGGGCCUUCUUCUUUACUAUGAGAUCGGGAUCUGCAACCUGCACCCGAACUCCAUUCUUCUCAUCUCCACCUUUAUUCAUUUGUGCGAGGCCUAUGUUGGAAUAGAGCCGCACUUCGACCUCUUCCGUUAUCUUUUCUGUUUGAGGAAGAAAGGGGCAGUUGGAGGCUCCAAGAUUGCAGGUGGAGUAUACCUCAAUCUGUGCGAUGGGAUGAAGAACCGGUACCUCAGCUGCCCAUGGAACACUUCUCUCACCGAAUGGUACAAGAAGUGGUUCUACAUCAGGGAAGAACUGGGCAGCGCCAUGUUCUGCGACGUGGGCUACAUCCCCGAGAAGAGGGUCACCUGGACGGACCGCCUAGAAUUCGCUGGGCAGGUGCCAGACCUGAUGAGCCUGAUCGACUGGUCCCGCUUAGACGGGCCAGGAAUUCGGGAACUUCAUUGUGCGUCGGGUGAUGCCCUGCCAAAGCAGGGUACACUCAGCGUACGAGUACGUGGGGAGCCAGGACCCGACCAGAAUGUGCCCUGAUGGUUUGUAGAAGGUAGAGGUCCAGCAGCUGAUGAAUGAGUUGUUCAACUUAUCAGAUGACAACUUCGUUCGAAGAAGUGAUCUGAUGCACACCUUCAUGCUGGGACGGCCGGCUCCUGAGGUAUAUAAAUAUUGUUAUUGAUUAGUAUUGCCAUGUGAAUACUGUUUCCUCCUGGUUGAUGACUUGUCGUUGGUUUUAUUGCAGAUUGGAGACAUUGACCGGUGCGCAGUGUACGUGUCACUGGCACCUGGUAUGGAAAAUCCUACGGGGAUGGACCCACCGGAGGGUGAUGCUGCUCGGUGUCCUCAAUACACCACCAGUGAGGAGGAACAGAACCGCCCCACCCCAACCACCGAGGACAGGGUGGCGGGAAAAGGCCAAUGGCGGUGGAUCGAUCUCCUGCGGAGGCGCUGCCGGCGGUGACCAGCCAAGCUCUGAAGCGUCGUCGGCUCGUUAGAAUCACCGACGACGACGAGGAGGAGGAGGAGGCUGCACCCUCUUUGGUCCGAAGGCCGUGCAGUCGUCCAGACAUCGCGCCGGCCACUGCUGGUCGGGUGACCAGUGAGCCUCCUGCCCCACACGCUUAGCUGACGCGUAUUGGAGAGACAGGGGCGGCGGCGGCGACUGGUAGGUCUAGGAGGAGGUUCUUCACAGUGACACACAGGCGCUCCGAUCUGUAAGUUGUUCAAUCUCACUUUUACACUUCCUCCUAUUUGGUUUUUGUUUUGUUACUACGACUUUUGACAUUGGUAAAAUGUCGUAUUUUUGUUAGUGCGGCGUCUGACGUUGAUCCAGACAACGUCGCUGGCCAGAAGACGGCCGAGCCAACGGUUGCAGUCGAAGAUGCCACGCAGCAGACCACCCAGGAACAAACCGAGGGGCAGCCCACGAUAGUGAGCGCGGCGGAGACUGCCGAGGUGGACCCAGCUCAGGCGAGGACCGGAGCGAGCACCCCUACAAGGGAUGAUGAGACUGCGAGGACGCCUCCCCCGAGCAGUGUCGCAGAGGGGGGAGACAGAGCCCCGACUCCCCCGCCUGUCGAAGAAAGGAGAGCCCCAACUCCACCCCGAGCAGAAGCCUCUUCGCCGAAGGGCUCCCCUGGCCGGGAUAAGGGUCCAGUGAUACCUGUGACCACGGCUGGGGGUAGCGCAGAGGGCGAGGAGGCCCAGGCGGCCUUCGAUGACGAAGUAGAAGAAAUCCAAGGUCGCCCCCAUGAUGGUCGCCAGCACGUUUACGUGUGGCGCCAACGUGGGGAUCAUUUCAUUGGUCAUGAAGAACUCGUGGAGACGGAGGAGGCCGCGAGGGUGGAGCGCACAGCUAAGCGGCUCAUUGAUGAGGUUAAGGUAAGUGGUCUUGCGUUCUGCUCGAAAUGUAUAUGCACUAUCGCUUGCUUCAAUAUGUGUAAUUCUUGUAGGGCGCAAUGAAAACGGCGAAGUACUGGAAAAGGUGCUUCGACCAGAUUGAAGGGAUCGUGGCCAAGAAUAAGGCCCUGACCGCAGAUGUAGACCACCUUCGGUCGGAGGCCGAGGAGAAGACGGCCGAGAUGGGUGCUCACGAAGGGCGCCUGCUCGAUCUCAAUCGGCGACUAGCCGACAAGGAUCGGGAAAAGAAAGGUGAGUCAUGCAUUCUGAGCAGUUGUAUAUAACCGUGUGGUCAGUUUUGUUGACCAGUAAUUACUCUUACAGACUUGGAGGAAGAGGUUGCACGCCUCAGACAAGAAAAGGAACGGCUCGACCAGGAGCGUGCCGGUGCGCUGGAGGCCGGGCGGCAGGCUAACGAGGAGCUGAAGAAUAGGAGUCAAGAGUUGUCUGGUAUGAGCCAUUUCGCGGCUUUUGUUUACAAAACUUUCCUCUUCUCGCUUUAUGCUAACCUCUUGCUUGCAUUUCUGUAGUGCUUAAAGUCAGUACGAAGAAACACCUCGACGAGCUGGUCAAGGAGCGGGACUCCUGGAAGACCAACUGUAUCAAGAUCUGGAAAGGAGUGGCCCCAGUUCUUGACUUGAUCAGCCCUGAGCUUCCCAAAGACCAGCCCCGCGCACCGAGGCUGACCCCGAUCGAGAAAACGCAACGAGCGUGGGGCUGGCUUCAGCAGUUUGUUAAGGACGCCGGGGAAUUUGCCGGUGCGCACGUGCUCAGCAUGGUGCGUGCCCACUACCCCUUGGUCGACUUGUCCCGGCUGGAGAGGGGGUAUCCCGAGGAGGUUGGUCCGCAGGAGGCAGACGACCUCGGUGUUGGUCUGCUCGAUCUGUCGUCGAUAGUGAUCGGUGACAUCAACCUCUGCGGGACAGCAACUCCCCCUAACCAGCCCGGGUCAGAUAGGUCGGCCAUGGAGUUGUCGGGGGCGUCCAUUGCAGGAGAUGGGCGGUCGACGCCUGCGGUCUCGACCAGCCAGACGCCGGUGGCCCCGACCCCUUCGACUGGACAGCAGGGCCGUGCGGGAGAUCAGCCCGAGCAGUAGGCCUGUAGAAUAGUCUGUAGAAGUAGACUUGGGACCGCCCAGAGGGGUGUUUAUUAUAAAAUUUGUAUAUAAAGUUUGUAAUAAAGGUUGAUUUUGUAAUAACCAUGGUUUUGAGCGCUGCAAUGUUGUCUGAGUGAUGUAUCACUGAGUCGAGUCGAUAACCCUUAAGGACCUUCGUCCUAAAAUUGAACGGUGGCACUUGUUGAAAGUUCUGCAUAUAAAAGGAGUAUAUAGGAAGAAAGAAAAAAUUUUAUUACUACUGAUCGUAAGAGAUUUACAAACGAAAUGUACUGGAACUUAGGGAUAGAAACGGUGUAGCUUGUCUAUGUGCCAGGAGUUGGGCAAGCGUGUCCCGUCUGGGUACGCCAGUCUGUAAGACGUAGGGCGUGUGACUUCGGCGACCACAAAGGGUCCUUCCCAAGGUGUAGAUAACUUAUGCAUUCCCUCCUGGCUUGUUUUCCACUUGAGUAACAGAUCACCGACAACAAAGGAGCGGUUUUUGACGUUCCUUUUGUGGUACCGUCUAACAGCUUCGAGAUACUUUGCUGUUCGAAGGCACGAGGUUAGGCGCCUUUCUUCUGCGCAGUUGAUUUCGGGCUCUCUGGCGAAGUUGGCCGAAGACUGGUCCAAAUUCUCGACUCUUGGAGAUCCAAAGGUUACGUCAGAAGGGAGCACUGCUUUAGCGCCGUACACCAUGAAGUAGGGUGAUACACCCGUAUUGUGGCUGGCCUGUGUCCGGAGACCCCAGACCACAGCCGGUAACUCUUUCAUCCAUCGUCCUGGUGCUCUGUCGUUUUCCGUGUAUAGUCUUUUCUUUAGAGCGUCGAUAAUCAUUCCAUUUGCUCGCUGUACUUGACCAUUGGCCCGUGGGUGAGCUACCGACACGUACUUUUUGACUAUGCCCCUAUCAUCGUAGAAGUCCCAAAAUGUAGUGCCGGUGAACUGAGUGCCCAGGUCAGUGAUUAUGCUAUUGGGGAUCCCGAAUCUGUGUAUGAUUUGAUUGAGGAAAUCCACAUCCUUCUCGGAGGUUGCUUUGACCAGUGGCAUGUACUCGAUCCACUUCGAGAACUUGUCAAUUAGCACGAAGAUGAACUUGAAGUUGCCGGGGGCCGGCUUAAAUGGCCCGAUCAUGUCAAGGCCCCAACAGGCGAAGGGCCAGGACGACGGAAUCGUUUAGAUCUCGUGAGCAGGCACGUGCGUCCUCUUGGCAAAGAACUGACAUCCUUCACAGUGUCAGACCAGUUUCUCGGCGUCGGCGACCGCGGUUGGCCAGUAGAAACCUGCUCGGAAGGCCUUCCCGACUAGUGUUCUAGAGGCAGCAUGGUUGCCACAGGACCCGACGUGUAUGUCAUCUAAGAGCUUGACACCAUCAUCCUGGGAUAUGCAUUUCAGCAACACUUCUGAGCUUGCGUUCUUUCGCAUAAGUUUACCAUCAACUAGUAUGUAAUUCUUGGACCGCCGAAUGAGGCGCUCGUUCUCCGUUUUGUCUUGAAAACCCGAACCGUCCAAUAUAUACUUGAUGAAAGGAGUGUGCCAAUCGUGGCCGCUGGUUGUCGGAUUGGUAUUGCCUAUGAGCAUUGCCUCAUUGGAUUGCUUGUCGACCAGGUCUGUACCGACACUUGGUGUGUGGAUGUCUUGAACGAAAACGUCUUGCGGGAUCUGGGCCCGAGAUGACCCUAUUUUUGACAACGCAUCUGCUGCCUGGUUCCUAUCCCAGACCACGUGUAUGUAUUCUAUGCCAUAGAAAUUGGAUUUCCAUUUCCGAAUUUCUUUGCAAUAGAGGUCCAUCUUUUUAUGGGUUGUGUCCCAUUCCUUGUUCAACUGGUUGAUGACCAGGGCAGAGUCACUGUGGACGUAAAGGCGUUUGACUCCCAGUUCGACGGCCAGUCGUAUGCCGUGUAGGCAUGCUUCGUACUCGGCGACGUUGUUGGAUGCCGGAAAGAGGAUUCUAAGGACGUAGCGAAGUUUGUCCUUGUUAGGUGACACGAAGAGUAUUCCGUCACCGACGCCAUUGAUAUUUAGCGACCCAUCGAAGAACAUUGACCAGUGGUCGGAGGUGUUCGAAGAAGGGGGUUCGUUGAGGUCCGUCCACUCCGCGAUGAAAUCGACCAGGGCUUGGGACAUGACGGUAGUGCGACUCUAGAAAUCCAGGGAGAAUGGGCACAAUUCUAUUGCCCAUUUUACAAUUCUGUCGUUAGCAUUCUUGUUGCUCAAAAUGUCCGCCAAAGGGAAACUGGUGGUUACUAGGACCCGAUGACUGUCGAAGUAAUGCUUCAGCUUCCUUGAGGUUAUCAGGAUGGCGUAGAUUAACUUUUGUAUCUGAGGAUAUGUUGACGGCCCUUAAGUAUCAAAUUUAAUUAUCAAAUAAACAAAGAAAAGGAUCCAAAUGAAAUCAACAUCUAGACUUAGGGUUUUAUCUGAUAGAAUUCCACGAGUUUUGGUGUUUGUCUAUUUCUGCAGGGGGUUAUCAGGAAAUACGAAAGAAAGGCCCACACGUCGGGAUUACUUAGAGAUAUUAACGUGCCGUGCAAUUAUCUUACAUCUAGAAGACUCCAGAAGCCACGGGAAGAAAGCAGAGGCCGAAAGGACCCAGAGGCAGGGCGCCCGCCCUCCUUCCCUGGGCGCCUGCCCUGACUUGGAGUCCAAUCAGGACUCUGUUUCGUGGGAGAUCUCCACCGACCUAAAGGAUCAAGGAUAACCGUUCAAUCUAAGUCGGUUUGAUCCAACGGCCCAUAUUCACUUGAAGGGACUAUAAAACCAGACCCCCUGGCCCCUGGAGGAGAGAGCCUCUCAACCCUAAUUCAUUAUUCUUCAAGGGAGAAGAAGCCUCUGAUCAAGAUUAGAGCCACCACAUCAAUUAGAUAUCUAGUUUAGCAUAGCUACAUAGGAUUAGAACUAGAAGGAGUCAAUCUUCGAUUGGUUUCCGGAUCUGUCAAGAGGAUUCUUGGUAAUUCUCUAAUUGUGCUUCUAAUUGCUUUCUAAUUAUCUUUGUUCUUCAAUAUUAUGAAUAUGACUUUGUUCUACUUCAAUAUAUUGCUUAUGACUUUGCUCUACUUGUUUAUAUUCAAGAUUAUAUUGUUCUUAGUUUAUCAUAGUUAUGUACUUGGCUUAGUUAGAUUGGAUCUAUAUACAUGCUUAGGAUCGUAUAGCGUUUAUCCAUUGGAUCCAUGGGUAAAUGAUAGAUAUUGUGUAGGCGUGGUGCUUAUACCGUAUUUAUGUACGAUUGUACCCAAUAUGCCAGAUCGUGGGGUAGUUCGUGAUAGUGACAGCUUCAUUGAUUCUUAUAUAAUCCCCCUCUCGUGUAUUGGACUGGCAGAGCAAUAUUAUUACAGGGGAGUGAUUGCUAUGUUUCUCAUUUACCUUGCUAAUAUCACUAUGCAUGGGCGUAGUCUUGUCUCACAAUGAUUGCUAAGUAUGCUUGCACUAACUAUGAUAAUGCUAGACUAUAUAGUUGAGAAUAACUUAGGAAAUAUUCUUGUAGUUCGUUCUAAUUCCAUGCUAAUGACUUUCUAGAGUAUCUAAUUGAGGUGCUUACCAUAUUUAUUAUGUGGCUAGUUAUGAUCAGAUUAAUUAUCUUUGUCACUAUUCAUUACUUCAUAUAUCUUUUAUGUGACACUUACCCCUGUAUGAAAGAGUUAGAUAAAUGUUCUCAAUUAUACAUGCAAUGAUAGAUACUCAAUCUCAUAUUCUAUUCUGUAAUCAAUAUUGAUGAUUGCUAAUCUCUUCCCAGUGGUAAAAAUAUAAAUAACGAUACCUAGAAUACUUCCCGGUUAAAAUGCUACAUCGGUAUUAAUCUGUGCGCUUGGAGAUCCCUUUCAUUAUUUAUUUAGAAGAGCAAUUGCAUAUUUCAAUACCGCGUCUCUCAUGUCAUGCUGGGGAUGACAACUUGGCUUAAGUGGUAUGAGGGAUAGGUUUGGCAUUUUUGGCAUUGUUAUCAGAUUUAGAAAACUAAGUCUACUUUUGGUAAUGAUGUUAAGAAUACCCAACAAGCAUUUUUGGCGCCGUUGCCGGGGAAGGUUGAUUACUAAUCAGGAAUGGAAUAAAGGAUUUUGAGUUAUCAUUCGCAUCAUUAUUCUGAUUGAGCUUAUCUAUUCUCUCGUACAGUUUUACCCCGAUAUUUUUCUAUUUUAUCUUAUGCAUGGGAAUGUAUGAAUAGAAGACAUCUUCCAGGAAAUUUUGUUGACAAUCCCGAAGCGUUAUUCGGAAGAACUAGAGUCAAGCUCAAGAAGAGAUCAUCAACACUUCAUCAAGAAGCUUCAUCCAAUCAAGAAGAUCACCGGAACUUGUCUUCAGAGUUCGAAGCCAUGGCGAACAAAUCAAUCCGCGAGUUCUCAGCUCCCACUACGGACAACAUCCGCACUGGACCUGCUGCAGAGAUCGAUGGCAACUUUGAGCUCAAGCCUGGACUUAUCAACAUGAUGCAAUCCAACCAGUUCUAUGGGAUAGCACACGAAGAUGCUAGUGCUCAUCUCCAACACUUCCUGGAGAUUUGCAGCACAUUUACCAUAUCAGGAGUCCCCAGAGAUGCUAUACUACUUCGCCUCUUCCCAUUCUCACUGUUAGGGAGAGCGAAGCAGUGGUUCUACGCUACGAAGGAGAAGAAUACUAUGUGGGCACUCUGCUCAACAAACUUCCUGGCUAAGUUCUUUCCCAUGGACAAGACCAAUGCUCUCCGUGGGAAAAUUAUAAAUUUUCAGCAACAAAAUGAUGAAUCUGUUCUAGAAGCAUGGGAGCGCUUUCAAGACUACAUCCUAGAAUGUCCCCAUCAUGGAAUGGAGAGUUGGCUAUUGAUGCAGACGUUUUAUCAUGGGCUCGGCAACAGUGCCCGAGAGACCAUGGAUGCUGUAGUUGGAGGAGCAUUCUUAUCACUUACCAUAUCACAAGCCACAGCUCUUGUGGAGAAGAUGGCGUCCAACCAAAGAUGGAAUGAAGAAAGGACCCAAACACGUAAGAGAGGUGGACAUAUGCAUCAGCUGAAGGAGGUAGACAUGUUGUCUGCAAAGCUAGACCUGCUCAUGGAGAAGCUCGAUGAUAGAGUUGGAGACAAGAAAGAAGUUAUGCACAUCUACGACUCUCACAUGACUUGUGAGGAGUGUGGAGACACUCGACACUCAGGCAAUCACUGCCCUGAGAUGCUUGAGGAUGUGAACUACGUCAACAAUAACAACAACAACUACUACAACCCUCCUCAACAAAAUCAAGGUUGGAAUCAACAGAGGCCUAACUACUCAGGUAAUUAUCAAGGUAACAGUUCUUACAACAAUAAUAAUAAUUUUCCACCUCUGAGAGAGUUAGUGUCUAAUCAAGGAAAGCUAAUGGAUAACCUAUCUAAGAAAUUGGCAUCAAAUGAUAAAAUACUAGAAAAUAUAAAUAAUAGAAUGGAUAAUUUCUCUACUGCCAUUAAGAAUCAAAUUAGCUUUAAUAAAAUGAUUGAAUCUCAGUUAAAUCAAAUAGCUGCUGCUGUUCCUACUACUAACCCCGAUAUACCAUCACAACCGGAAGGAUUAGAAUCUGCAAAUCUUGUAGACAUGUUUGAUGCAGGUAAUAAUUGGAGUAACCCUAUCACUGAAGUUACUGCUGACCUUCUGCCGGUCAAGAGAGGCGAUCCAGGACGCCCCGUCAUCCCGAUCUCCAUCGGCAUGGUGGACGUCCCAGAAGCACUCUGCGACUUUGUCUCUAGUGUCAACAUUAUACCCAGGGUACUCUAUGAAAAAUUCUUUACAUAUCCUUUAUUAGAAACAACCAUGUGUUUGCAGUUUGCAGAUCAGACGAUAAGUUUUACAAAGGAAUAUUGAAGAACCUUUGUGUCCGAGUUGGUACCUUGUAUGCCCCAGCAGACUUCGUGGUGAUAGAGACCGGUAAUGAUGAGAGAGCACCCAUCAUCUUAGGGAGGCCAUUCUUAAACACCUCGGGAGCUGUCAUCUACGCCAGUGAUGCCAAGAUCAGUUUCUACAUCAAAGGGAGGAAGGAGACAUUUUUCAUCAAGAACAAGACAUUGGAUCCAUGGGUAAAUGAUAGAUAUUGUGUAGGCGUGGUGCUUAUACCGUAUUUAUGUACGAUUGUACCCAAUAUGCCAGAUCGUGGGGUAGUUCGUGAUAGUGACAGCUUCAUUGAUUCUUAUAUAAUCCCCCUCUCGUGUAUUGGACUGGCAGAGCAAUAUUAUUACAGGGGAGUGAUUGCUAUGUUUCUCAUUUACCUUGCUAAUAUCACUAUGCAUGGGCGUAGUCUUGUCUCACAAUGAUUGCUAAGUAUGCUUGCACUAACUAUGAUAAUGCUAGACUAUAUAGUUGAGAAUAACUUAGGAAAUAUUCUUGUAGUUCGUUCUAAUUCCAUGCUAAUGACUUUCUAGAGUAUCUAAUUGAGGUGCUUACCAUAUUUAUUAUGUGGCUAGUUAUGAUCAGAUUAAUUAUCUUUGUCACUAUUCAUUACUUCAUAUAUCUUUUAUGUGACACUUACCCCUGUAUGAAAGAGUUAGAUAAAUGUUCUCAAUUAUACAUGCAAUGAUAGAUACUCAAUCUCAUAUUCUAUUCUGUAAUCAAUAUUGAUGAUUGCUAAUCUCUUCCCAGUGGUAAAAAUAUAAAUAACGAUACCUAGAAUACUUCCCGGUUAAAAUGCUACAUCGGUAUUAAUCUGUGCGCUUGGAGAUCCCUUUCAUUAUUUAUUUAGAAGAGCAAUUGCAUAUUUCAAUACCGCGUCUCUCAUGUCAUGCUGGGGAUGACAACUUGGCUUAAGUGGUAUGAGGGAUAGGUUUGGCAUUUUUGGCAUUGUUAUCAGAUUUAGAAAACUAAGUCUACUUUUGGUAAUGAUGUUAAGAAUACCCAACAAGCAUUUUUGGCGCCGUUGCCGGGGAAGGUUGAUUACUAAUCAGGAAUGGAAUAAAGGAUUUUGAGUUAUCAUUCGCAUCACUAUUCUGAUUGAGCUUAUCUAUUCUCUCGUACAGUUUUACCCCGAUAUUUUUCUAUUUUAUCUUAUGCAUGGGAAUGUAUGAAUAGAAGACAUCUUCCAGGAAAUUUUGUUGACAAUCCCGAAGCGUUAUUCAGAAGAACUAGAGUCAAGCUCAAGAAGAGAUCAUCAACACUUCAUCAAGAAGCUUCAUCCAAUCAAGAAGAUCACCGGAACUUGUCUUCAGAGUUCGAAGCCAUGGCGAACAAAUCAAUCCGCGAAUUCUCAGCUCCAACUACGGACAACAUCCGCACUGGACCUGCUGCAGAGAUCGAUGGCAACUUUGAGCUCAAGCCUGGACUUAUCAACAUGAUGCAAUCCAACCAGUUCUAUGGGAUAGCACACGAAGAUGCUAGUGCUCAUCUCCAACACUUCCUGGAGAUUUGCAGCACAUUUACCAUAUCAGGAGUCCCCAGAGAUGCUAUACUACUUCGCCUCUUCCCAUUCUCACUGUUAGGGAGAGCGAAGCAGUGGUUCUACGCUACGAAGGAGAAGAAUACUAUGUGGGCACUCUGCUCAACAAACUUCCUGGCUAAGUUCUUUCCCAUGGACAAGACCAAUGCUCUCCGUGGGAAAAUUAUAAAUUUUCAGCAACAAAAUGAUGAAUCUGUUCUAGAAGCAUGGGAGCGCUUUCAAGACUACAUCCUAGAAUGUCCCCAUCAUGGAAUGGAGAGUUGGCUAUUGAUGCAGACGUUUUAUCAUGGGCUCGGCAACAGUGCCCGAGAGACCAUGGAUGCUGUAGUUGGAGGAGCAUUCUUAUCACUUACCAUAUCACAAGCCACAGCUCUUGUGGAGAAGAUGGCGUCCAACCAAAGAUGGAAUGAAGAAAGGACCCAAACACGUAAGAGAGGUGGACAUAUGCAUCAGCUGAAGGAGGUAGACAUGUUGUCUGCAAAGCUAGACCUGCUCAUAGAGAAGCUCGAUGAUAGAGUUGGAGACAAGAAAGAAGUUAUGCACAUCUACGACUCUCACAUGACUUGUGAGGAGUGUGGAGACACUCGACACUCAGGCAAUCACUGCCCUGAGAUGCUUGAGGAUGUGAACUACGUCAACAAUAACAACAACAACUACUACAACCCUCCUCAACAAAAUCAAGGUUGGAAUCAACAGAGGCCUAACUACUCAGGUAAUUAUCAAGGUAACAGUUCUUACAACAAUAAUAAUAAUUUUCCACCUCUGAGAGAGUUAGUGUCUAAUCAAGGAAAGCUAAUGGAUAACCUAUCUAAGAAAUUGGCAUCAAAUGAUAAAAUACUAGAAAAUAUAAAUAAUAGAAUGGAUAAUUUCUCUACUGCCAUUAAGAAUCAAAUUAGCUUUAAUAAAAUGAUUGAAUCUCAGUUAAAUCAAAUAGCUGCUGCUGUUCCUACUACUAACCCCGAUAUACCAUCACAACCGGAAGGAUUAGAAUCUGCAAAUCUUGUAGACAUGUUUGAUGCAGGUAAUAAUUGGAGUAACCCUAUCACUGAAGUUACUGCUGACCUUCUGCCGGUCAAGAGAGGCGAUCCAGGACGCCCCGUCAUCCCGAUCUCCAUCGGCAUGGUGGACGUCCCAGAAGCACUCUGCGACUUUGUCUCUAGUGUCAACAUUAUACCCAGGGUACUCUAUGAAAAAUUCUUUACAUAUCCUUUAUUAGAAACAACCAUGUGUUUGCAGUUUGCAGAUCAGACGAUAAGUUUUACAAAGGAAUAUUGAAGAACCUUUGUGUCCGAGUUGGUACCUUGUAUGCCCCAGCAGACUUCGUGGUGAUAGAGACCGGUAAUGAUGAGAGAGCACCCAUCAUCUUAGGGAGGCCAUUCUUAAACACCUCGGGAGCUGUCAUCUACGCCAGUGAUGCCAAGAUCAGUUUCUACAUCAAAGGGAGGAAGGAGACAUUUUUCAUCAAGAACAAGACUACACAAAUCCCAGAUCAAUCCAGACGUGAAUCAAGGAAGAGGACCAACAGGAGGAACGGGAACAAGCAAGUGUGGAACGAGUCAGCUAAGAUGGUCACUGCAGUUCAUGGAGGUCAAGAUCAUCAACUUAAGUCACCAUUUUUGACCAAGAAGGACGACCCAGGAAUGCCAAGCAUCUAUUGCUCCAUAAACGGAUACAGCUUCUACAAGACGUUUUGCGACACCAGAUCGGGCGUCAACAUAAUGGCCGCAGUCACCUAUCGGCUCUUGUUCGGAACCAUGCUCUUAAAACCAACAUACAUUCAGCUCCAGAUAGCAGAUCAGACAUUUCAAGAGGUCAAAGGAACAGUAACUGAUGUCCCAGUCAAAAUAGACGAUCAUUUUGUCUACACAGACUUUUAGGUUAUUGACAUGGGAGAAGAUGAGUACGAUCCACCCAUCACCCUUGGAAGACCGUUCCUCAGCACCGUUAAAGCAAUCAUCUACAUUGGAACUGGAGAAGUCCAUAUGCACUUCCCCUCAGAGAAGGUACGUUGUUAUUUUAUUGACCCUAACUAUAUCGUUGAAGAAUCUAAGCAGGUAAGAAAACGACGCAACCGCAACCAGAGGAGGCAAAUCAUCAAGGACGGAUGGGCAGACUAUGAAGGAGAAGUUGUAAGGUCAGAAGAUGUAGAGUUUAAACAGAAUUAUCCAGAGGAGACCGAAGCACCGAGUCAGGUAUGAAAAGAGAAGAUAACUAUACAUGAAGAGGAGGCGCUGCCGGAAGUACCGACUACGCCACCCAACGAAUCCCAGGACAAUUAAGAAAAUGGAGAGUCCCAUUCGGAGGACUUAAAAACACCGAACGCCUUGCCAAGAGGUAAACUUGGUAGUUAUCCAUUCCCUUUCAAUUAUUUUAAACAAUCUACUUAGUUAAUCAUGUUCAUACUAUCCUAAAGAGAAAAUAAAAAUGUUGAAAAACAGUAAGCCCCAUGUGAGUAUACGAGUGGCAUGAAACCCAUAAGUACAUUCACUGUGGUGGCAUAAAAAUAAAAUAAAUAUUUCUUUUCUGCUUUAUAAAAUAAAAAUAUAAAAACAGGGAGUAAUAAUUAUUAAGGAGUCUCAACAUGAUAAAGGCUAGAUAUUUAUGCUAACACUUAAUCAGUUCCACAAGCUUUGUUGUUUAUUUGAGCUCCACAGAAUUUCAGAAUUAAGAAGACUAGCAGACGGAGGACAUUCUAAUCGCUGUCAGAAUGCUGCUGACUUUCAAAUACACCUCUGCCACCUGCUAGCUACAUCAAGAGAAAUUACGUCAAAAUUCAGCUUGGGGGAGAGCACCCCUAUUUAUCCCGAUAAGUAUUUCUAUCUAUCUAUCUAUCUAUCUUUAUACUUAUACUAUUUUAGAAUAUAAAUAUACAUAAACCAGGAAAAACUAAAUAAAGAUUUUAUGCUUAUAUAUAUAUCUUUUGCUUAGUGUGUUUAAUAAAUAAAUAAAGUGGCUAUGCUAAUUUGUAUCUUAAUAAUAAAACUCUAGCAUGGAUAUGAUGAAUAGUUGCUCUGCCUAAUUUGCACAUAUUAAGUUCUCUCUCAAGUUUAGAUAUAACUGUUAUAAUUUAAAGCUUGCUCUAGACCUAAACUUGUGGGAUGAAAACUUGAUCUGAAGUCUAAGUUGUUAACGGAUACGAUAUGGGAAGGUUGAGCUGCUGUUUAUCUGUUCCUAGAGAUGCUAGAAUUCUGGAGAAUUUUAUCUUUGAAAAUCUUUAAAAUGUUGUAUGAUGAGUUCCUGUAUGAUGAGAGUUUUAAAUUCCUACCACAGCCAUAUAUACAUGCUUGCUAGACUUUGAGCCACAUAUUUAGUUUUUACUGCUUAUGAGCAUUGAGUGUGGUCAAGCUGUGUAGACCCUUAUGAGCUUGUCAUGUGGUUAAAUCAAGAUUCACUUGCACGUUCACUCAUAUAUGCUACUUCUACUCCGGAAGUACCAUCCACAUAUAUCCACCCAUUUUCAUUUCCAGAACCACCUAAAAAUAUUCUACUCCUAAUCCGGGAGAGAAUAGCCAAAAAUAUUUCUGUUUUUCCUUGUGAAAUAAAUGCUCAAGUUAUCUUGUUACUACCACUUGCUAUAUUAUCUCAAGAGAUGAGUGCUCUAAAAAAAGAAGAAAGAAAAGAUACGAGAAAAUAAAAAAGGGCAAGUGCCCGGAACCUCGAAAGAAAAGAAAAAGCGAGACGAGAGGUAAAAAUGGACAAGUGUCCGACAGUAGAAUUAGGGGUACAAGAUACCCACCUGAGAGAAAAGAAAAAGAAGAGCAUCUCAUUCUCCUCAUAAAAUUUCAAAAAGCAAGGAAGGUAUGUAUCCCCUCAAAAGAGCAAAAGUAGAAUUAGACUUUCACCAUUGUUAUCACCAUCAUCACCAUACGCCAUUCAUUCGCCACACAUGCACAUCUUGAUUUGACUUAUUGAUUUGUUUCUUUGGAUCCAUGGUUUGACUAUACAAUAAAUGUCUUGUGAGUAUGUAUAUUUUAUCUCCCACCUAUGAGCUCCAGAUAUUAAAACCUUAUUAGAGUAGGGUGAGAGAGAAGGCAAUGUCACUAUGUCUUAUACCACAAAUACUACAUAUAUUGAGAGAAGGCAUAUACCAUCACUGCCUUGGUAAGGAUCUAGAAAUACCACGAAAGAGAGAUCUAAGAGUAUCAUACAAGGAAUCUCUGAGUUUUAUUUGAAAUCUGCAAAAACUCCAGAGCUAUAGCUGAUCAAGAAUAAGAGACAUGGCACUUGACUAGACUGUUCUAUCUUUUAACUACUCAAGACAGAAGUGACGGUUACAAGUCCCAUGGUGAAGAUAAAGUAAGUAUGUUUUAAGUCUUGACAGUUUACACUAACUCAGAGAUGAGAUCUUAUUUAAAAAGCAUGUGUACCAUCAAUUUUUAAAGAUAUUGCAACAACUUAUGAUCCAUAGCUGAGUUUAUCCUUGCUCAGGGACGAGCAAGAGGUAAGCUUGGGGGAGUUUGUUGACGGUCCUUAAGUAUCAAAUUUAAUUAUCAAAUAAACAAAGAAAAGGAUCCAAAUGAAAUCAACAUCUAGACUUAGGGUUUUAUCUGACAGAAUUCCACGAGUUUUGGUGUUUGUAUAUUUCUGCAGGGGGUUAUCAGGAAAUACGGAAGAAAGGCCCACACGUCGGGAUUACAUAGAGAUAUUAACGUCCCGCGCAAUUAUCUUACAUCUAGAAGACUCCAGAAGCCACGG
rnacentral:lncRNA from 1 species